UGAUCCAAAUCAGGAAAGACGGCGCC
rnacentral:piRNA from 1 species